GUUGGGUGUGGUGGAGCACACCUGUAAUCCCAGCAACUCCAGAGGCUGAGGCUGGAGGGUCACAUGUUCCAGCCUAGGUAACUAAGAGAACCCCUGUUUCAA
rnacentral:sRNA from 1 species